GGAGUUGUGGCUCAGUGGUGGAGCGCGUGCCUGGCAUGCAUGAGGCCCUGGGUUUGAUACUCAGCGCUACA
rnacentral:tRNA from 1 species